rnacentral:rRNA from 1 species
GAUGAACGCUAGCUACAGGCUUAACACAUGCAAGUCGAGGGGCAGCAUGAUUGAAGCUUGCUUCAAUCGAUGGCGACCGGCGCACGGGUGAGUAACACGUAUCCAACCUGCCGAUAACUCGGGGAUAGCCUUUCGAAAGAAAGAUUAAUACCCGAUAGUAUAGUAUUUCCGCAUGGUUUCACUAUUAAAGAACUUCGGUUAUCGAUGGGGAUGCGUUCCAUUAGAUAGUUGGCGGGGUAACGGCCCACCAAGUCAACGAUGGAUAGGGGUUCUGAGAGGAAGGUCCCCCACAUUGGAACUGAGACACGGUCCAAACUCCUACGGGAGGCAGCAGUGAGGAAUAGUGGUCAAUGGACGAGAGUCUGAACCAGCCAAGUAGCGUGAAGGAUGACUGCCCUAUGGGUUGUAAACUUCUUUUAUACGGGAAUAAAGUGGAGUAUGCAUACUCCUUUGUAUGUACCGUAUGAAUAAGGAUCGGCUAACUCCGUG